UGGGAUAUAGCCAAGUGGUAAGGCACCAGACUUUGACUCUGGCAUUUCGUAGGUUCGAAUCCUGCUAUCCCAGCCA
rnacentral:tRNA from 1 species